ACGCAAUUAAUCGUGGACACACAUCCGCGAUGGGUGCGACUCAUCGAUCCCAAUCGCAGGAUAAUAAUCGGCUCGCAAAAAUGCGCGACGCGAAGAUAACCUUGGAUGUAAAAACCGCGGACGCGUGCGCGAGCGAGCGAGCGAGCGGUUACAUUCCGUUCCGGAGGAGGCGAUGUUGCCGGAAUCGAGUGCGGUACCAACUUAAAGGAAACGAUGCGACUUUUGUUGUACCGGCUUGUGAUAAAAGAGACACGAUUGUGUUGUAUGGAAAAUUUGCAGGCAGGUUUUUGUUUGAGGAGUGACUCGCGUCCACUGAAUUGAUCGAGUCGAGCUGUGCUAGAAACUUAAUUGUUUCGUGACCGUUCACCAACAAUCAUUUACACAUCUUGCGUCCAAGAUGCUGGAAAAUCGAUCCGAGAUCUCGGACGAAGGAGGAAAACCACUCGAACAAUUCGACCGAUGCGACCGAUCAAUUUUCCUUCUCUUGCAAGAACUCGUGUCGGAUGUACAACGUGUCUUAAAAACUCUAUUAGAAAUUCUCUCUCCUGUAUUUUCUCGGAAAAUUUAUGUUGCGAUUGCAAAAGCAGAAAUAAUAACACGAUGCGCGAAUUACGUGGAGAGACCAGGAGUUUA